AGCGAACGCUGGCGGCAGGCCUAACACAUGCAAGUCGAACGAACCUUUCGGGGUUAGUGGCGGACGGGUGAGUAACACGUGGGAACGUGCCUUUAGGUUCGGAAUACUCAGGGAAACUUGUGCUAAUACCGAAUGUGCCCUUCGGGGGAAAGAUUUAUCGCCUUUAGAGCGGCCCGCGUCUGAUUAGCUAGUUGGUUGAGGUAAUGGCUCACCAAGGCGACGAUCAGUAGCUGGUCUGAGAGGAUGAUCAGCCACAUUGGGACUGAGACACGGCCCAAACUCCUACGGGAGGCAGCAGUGGGGAAUCUUGCGCAAUGGGCGAAAGCCUGACGCAGCCAUGCCGCGUGAAUGAUGAAGGUCUUAGGAUUGUAAAAUUCUUUCACCGGGGACGAUAAUGACGGUACCCGGAGAAGAAGCCCCGGCUAACUUCGUG
rnacentral:rRNA from 1 species